rnacentral:rRNA from 1 species
AUUGAACGCUGGCGGCAGGCCUAACACAUGCAAGUCGAGCGAGCGGCGGACGGGUGAGUAAUGUCUGGGAAACUGCCUGAUGGAGGGGGAUAACUACUGGAAACGGUAGCUAAUACCGCAUACCAUCAGAUGUGCCCAGAUGGGAUUAGCUAGUAGGUGGGGUAACGGCUGACCAAGGCGACGAUCCCUAGCUGGUCUGAGAGGAUGACAAGCCACACUGGAACGGAGACACGGCCCAGACUCCUACGGGAGGCAGCAGUGGGGAAUAUUGCACAAUGGGCGCAAGCCUGAUGCAGCCAUGCCGCGUGUAUGAAGAAGGCCGUCGGGUUGUAAAGUACUUUCAGUCGGGAGGCGUUACCGGCAGAAGAAGCACCGGCUAACUCCGUGCCAGCCGCCGCGGUAAUUC